rnacentral:lncRNA from 10 species
CCCGGCCCAGGUCUGCCACUGUCAUGUCCUGAUUGAUAUGGUUUGGCUGUGUCCCCACCCACAUCUCAUCUUGAAUUGUAGUUCCAUAAUUCCCAUGUGUUGUGGGAGGGGCCUGGUGGGAGAUAACUGAAUCAUGGGAGCGGUUUUCCCCGUCCUGUUCUCAUGGAAGUGGGUCUCAGCAAAUAUCUGCCAGACUGAAUGGGGAAUGGUCCUGUGUUUCACUGGCUCUGACCCCAGCUCCUUUGUUUGCUGGACACAGAUCUGUGGUGCAGAAUCCUCAGUGAGCCUCUGGAUGAGCCACCCACAGUCUGUCUUUCUGGCUCUGAAGCACCUGCUACCUCAUCUCAAAAAUACCACUGGAUGGAUUAACUGGAUUCUGCAGCCCUUCUGAUAUCUUGUUAGAGAAAACAAGCGAACUAGAAAUCCACUGGCUUUAACUUUCCUUCCCAAACACAGGCCUGUCCACUGGGGAAAUCUCUCAGCUGCUGGGUUGGUAUUUCUUUUCUAACAAACCAAAACAGUUACCUUCCUCUUCCAGGCACGGUGAAGAGAAAGAUGACAACUUGGAGUGAUUGGCUUAUAUCUCUCUGAUUGUACUCCUUGGACCAGGGCUGCUAAGGGAGAUAGACCAACACAUUCCCAAUCUAGCCGGAUGCACCAGAAAGGCCAUGUGUUCAGACUCAAUUCUGCACGCCUCCCCCAGGCGGCUGCUCUGCACAGCCACAGCCUCUCUGGACACCCCCACCUGCCAGGUCCGCUGUGCUCAACUCUUCCUUCAACCCGGCUCCUCAUCUCCAGAGCAGGACCUCUUCACUGCUUCCCACACUUCCUCCCCAGAAGGAGAGAAUACACAAUAGAAAACAAAGGAGACAUAGAGAGAAAAGCGGAACUCAGCAAAGAGCAGAAAAUGUAAGCGAGGGAUCCCAGGAAAUUGCAUCUGAAGCCUGAAUCGGCGUCUCCCUCGUGGACUGUUCACCAUUCCCCAUCGCUGUCUGGGAAGGUUGUCUCCAUGGCAAUGGGGACCACCUAGUUAGUUCCCAACUCGGUCUAUCCUGGGAGACCCCGAGCAACAGUCUCUCUUCACCGUGGCUCCUGCCGGCUCCCUGACUAGCAACAGUCUCUCUUCACCGUGGCUCCUGCUGGCCCCCUGACUACUGGUCCUCAUAGGCGCUUUCCAGACACCCACACCUUCUCGACAAGCCAGUGCAAUCAGCUGCCCGAAGGAAGACACAGAGCUUCCAUUUCCAAGUUGCUCCUGCCUGUACCCCACCACCUUAUGCCAUUAAUAAUGGCGGUGCCCCACCCCAGCACACACAUCUGACAAGCACAGUUGGCCCGGGGCAAACUCGGCUUCACUGAGCAAAAUGGAAACACAAGACAAUUGCAACAGGGUCUUCCACUCGCCUCCCUUGCAAAACGCAAAGUUUCUCUCGUCUACUUUGGGAAGUCUGAGUGUUUUCUCUUACUCCAGGUUUACUUUCCCACCAUUGUCCUGCCUAGCACACCAGGAAAAUUUAGCAACAGCAGAAAUCCACCUUGGACAAAUUUUGUGAAACCUUCCUGCAAAAUCAUCAUCCCCCUCAAAACCAACCAUCCUCCAGACAGUCUUCACCAUCAGGCUAGACACAUUUCCUGUCUGGAAUAUCCACUUUUAGGCAGACUGAGGCUGGAACGAGGCAAGAGAACCGUCCAGCUCACAAAGCACAGGCCGGCAGUGGCUGCAAUGAGUGGCCGCCUUCUGGGGCUGCUGCCUCGUCACACUGAUUUUAUUUUUCUGAUGCUCUAUAAUGAAGUGUACCAAUUAAAAUACGCUGGUGUCAUCAUGUGUUGCCUCAAAAAUAAGUCUCUUUUAUCAUACAAAAGAAAAAUAGCAUUUAUAAAAUAAGAGCAACCCUCCCGCUUACUUGCUGCUAAAAAAAGUCAGUGCACUUUUCCGGUGGACAGUUUAACGCGACUCGCCGUGUGAAACACGCAUGGCUUUUGACCCAGCAAUUCUUCUUCUGGAAAGGUGUCAUUAAGCAGAUAACAGGGACUUCUGGUUAAACAUGGCGGACCUCACACAGUGUUCAUUCCUUCUCUCUCCUAAUCCUCUCUAAAAUGAAAACUAAAGGAAUAAAAUGUUGUAAAUACACAAAACCAAAAAUAAUAGGCAAAAUGAGAAAAUACAGUAUCAGGUAAAGUUGCCAACGUAGUGUGUGUGGCAAAGAUGGUGUGUGGAGCUGAGAAGGCUGAAGCCCAGGCACCUGGAAAACGGGGGCUGUUAGGAAUUAAGCCCUGCUCUCUGAAGAACCCGGAGAGGCUCCCGAACUGGAGCACCAGUAGCUGUGGGAGGUGGGGAGCCUGCGGGCUGAAAAGGAAGAGUGUGGACAAGGUCUGCAUGAGAGGUAUAGAUGCCUGUCCCACACCCCUCUCCUCCCCACAUGGCUCCUUGCCCUGGCUACUGCUGAGGACGUAAGGCAUCCAGAAUGACAUGGAAGCUGUUAACAAAAGACCGGUGAUAUCUGUGGAGGCAACGGGAGAACCUUAUUUUCUAAAAGCAAAUAGAUUUUGCUUUUAGAAAAAUCUGUGAUUGUGGACACGCAGCCUUUGGUGUAAGACACAGGUGGAGGGAUCAGGGAUUGGGAGAUGAUGAAGGCAAAUCCUUCAGAAUAGGAGUUUAGGGGGAGUUCGUUGCAGGAUCUAGACGGGAAGGCCUUUAAGCGAGACCUUGCCGGUCUCUCUGCAUCAGCCUCAGGUGGCCUGCGGGUGGUCAGUGGGGAAUUUUAAGCCAAGGUCUGGCUCAGCACCAACGACAGGAACUGGUCUGGCCUGAUUGUAGAAAGGGAGGUCCUAUGACACUUUCACAACAUCUUCCCGAAGACAGAGAGUGGGUGGCCGCUUCCUUAUCCUGCCAUGGCCGCCUGCUUGUUUUAACUCUGAGUGCAUCAGGUGGCCACAGGGAGCCCCUUUUGUCUGUCGGCUGGGAGCACACUUAACAAAGCUUACAUUCAGGAACACAUGCCCAGUAGAGGUCGGAGGGGUGCGAUGUUGGAAAUGAGAUUAAAUAAAUGCCUACGUAAUAUUCACAGAGACCCCAGCUCUCUCCUGAAGCUCAGCUCCAAGAACGGUGGUGGUCAGGGCAUGGCCGCACAACCUUACCUUGACCACUCAGGAAAAGGCCUGGCUGUUCCCAAACAGAAGAUUUAUAGAUAACCACAACAAAGCCGCCAGCUUCCAGCCCCAUCAUGCUGCAGAGACCUCACCACGGGCGGGCCCCCUGCACAUGUGUGGAAGCUUCCCAUCAGGGUCAGUGUCUCUCUCCUCAAUGCAGGCAGAAAGGCGUCUGGAGCGGGGAGACCACGGCCAGCAAUAGACACUGCAGAUUUAGUGGCAAAGACGGGGGCAGAGCUGGAAAACUGAAAGAAAGAGAGAAUAAAAUGAGAACAAGAACCAGGGUAUGAGCUGUCGGGAAGAUGCUAAGGAAAAAAGCCUACCACAAUCUUCUCAUCCAUUCUUCUGCUUUAUUCAAACGUUCGGGUCCUUGUCUGGCCUCAAGAAGGAAUAAGAGGCAGGGUAUCUCAAAAUUCUGCUAGGUUUAACAUAGCUUCUUCUUGGUCUUGUCGCUUUCUGCAUUUUUAUGACUUCCCAGUAAAACUCAGCAUUCGGGGAGGGAAGGCAGAGAGAGUGCAAAGUGGGAGAACCCGGGACUGGCAUUGGUGAGGGGGCUGUGCUGAGGUCAGAGGUGAUCCUCUCUGGCCCAGCAGAGACCUAGAGCCUCUUGACAGUCGGGUCCAGGUGAGUGAAAUGAGAGUCAAAGCCAGGGUGGAGGGGUGUUGCAGCCUCCAGGGAGCUGGAGACUGGUACCGGUGAGAGGGAGGACUAGGAAGGGCACAGGGAGAAAGGAAAAGAACUGCAAUUUGAAGGUCCUGAUGUUGAAAACUCUGAUGAGCUCCCAGUAAAGUAAGUAGAGCUAAGACGAUUGUCCUCAAGGCUAAGAUGGAUUAAAAGGUGGCCAUGGAGGUGACCACAGCCUCCUCUCAUCGCAACAGACAGGGAAGAGCAACACGGUGAGCCACAGGCGGGUCUGCCUCCCGCUGCCUUUGGACUCAAUAUCGACCUUACCUGAAUUUCCAGCCUGCUGGUCUGCAGACUUCAGAUUUCCCAGCCCCACAAAGGAGUGAAAAAAUUCUCUGAAAUCAAUCUCUCUCUCUCUCUCUCUCUCGGUCUAUUUCUCUGGAGAACUCGGACUCAUGCAGAUUUUGGUCUGAGGAAGGUGAGAGUGAGCUGUGUUUUCAUUCAGCAGGGGUGACUGGAGCCUGGACUUCCCUGAGCCUGCACACACAAGGAUCCACAGUGGAGGGCUCCUCCAUCUAGACUGGUCACCAUGGAAGCAGAGAGUAAAAAUACAGCUGAGAGGGGUGGCCGUGGAAAUGUGUGUGACUCACUCGGGAGCACCAGGAUGCACACAGGAGGAGCACCAAGGAUGAGCACGGGAGCACCAAGAAUGCACACAGCAGCACCGGGGAUGCACACAGGAGUAUUGGGGAUGCACACAGGAGUAUUGGGGAUGCACACAGGAGUAUUGGGGAUGCACAUAGGAGCACUGGGGAUGCACAUAGGAGUAUUGGGGACGCACACAGCAGCACCAGGGAUGCACACAGGAGCACCGGGGAUGCCCACAGGAGCACCAGGGAUGUGAACAGGAGCAUUAGAGAUGCAUGCAGGAGCACCGGGGAUGCACACAGGAGCACCAGGGAUGUGAACAGGAGCACCGGGGAUGCCCACAGGAGCACUGAAGAUGUGUGCACAGGAGCACUGAGGAUGCGCACAGGAGCACCGGGGAUGUACGCCCCACCCAGAGCCAGGAGGAGUCUGGAUGACUUCCUGAAAGUCAUGAAGCUUGGGUGAGUGGGUGAAACGGAGGGAACAUUGGCACCCGAGCCCAGAUGGCCAUACCCACCGAUUCCAGAGGCAGGGCACUGCACACCGGGAGUGUGUGUGUGAUGGUGGCUGGGUGCAGGGACAGAGGCUUAGUAGACACAGGCAGCAAAUGUGCUCAGACACCUGGCAUCAAGGGCUCGUGCAUCAAGUUAGAGUUUGGGUCUUACCAUGUGGGCUGUGGAGUGCCUCUGAAUAUUCUAAAUGGGGAAGUGACUUGGUCAAGAUUUUCACUAGGAAUAUAUGUUGUUAUUUAUUAUAGUCGCCGUGUUAUGCAAUAGGUCACCAGAGCUGAUUCCUGCUACCCAUCUGAAACUUUGUUCCCUUUGGCCAGCAUACCCUAAGAGAGGAUUUAAAUAUGUUCUUCCAUAAAGAAAUGGCAAACAUUUGAGGUGACAGGUACUCUAAUCAGCUUGAUUUGUUCAUCCCACAAUGUGUAUAUAUACAUAUACUGAAACACAUUGUACCCCAUAAAUAUAUGUAGCUAUCAUUUAUUAAUAAAAAUAUAACAAAUUUGAAAACAAAAAAAUUAAAACAUCUCCCCCAGGAAGAUCUCUCUGUGAUGGAUUUGAGGGAGUGAAACCAGAAUAGUCCUCCUAGGAGGCUGUAGUGGUGCUCCAGGCCAGAGAGAAGGGUGUCCUAAGCAGCUGAGGCUGCGGGAGGGUAUGUGAAGGAGACAGAGUAACAGGACUUGCUACUAAAUAGCCCACGAUGCCCAGGAAAGGAACCCAGGAUGUGUGGACAUUCUGGUUUGAGAAUUGCACAGAGUCUUCGACGACGCACGAGGAGGAGUGGGUUUGGGUAGAGAAAAGACAUCAGUCCAGCGAGGGUGGUGAUGGGUUUCGGAAGAGACCUGGGAUAGCGAGGUGCCUGGACGGCCACACCACUGUGACCAAUUUGCUUAUGCAGGUCACACCCAACAGUGACAGGAUCACAGGCUGAACUAUCCACCAGAGCCUAGAUGUGGCAAAGACGAGCCCAUGAAAUCAUCCACACUGUGCACUGGAGGAAGAUGACAGGGGAUGGGGCAUCCUCUGUAAAAAGCAGGAAGGAGGAGGAUGUCCUCAAUAGCAUUCUACAGUCACAGAACUCUAUCAUUUUCAAGGGUUUGAUGAUUCUUAUGGUUAUUGAGGCCCAUGUGCACAGGUAAGAAGCUUUAUAUAAGUAACCAUAAUACCUUGCAUUUUUCCAGUGUGUAUUUUUUCUUGAGAGAUCAAAAGACUAUGGUAUCGCCCUCCUGUGGCUGAAAGGAAAUGUUCGCUCAUGUGCUGUGGAUGCACUGUCACGUCCAUGGGUGAGGUCACAUUGCCUGCGUGUGGAAGCUGUCACCUGACACACGCUUACUUACCUUGCAGGGAGCCAGCAGGGCAAACACCUCUUCGUCCUGAAGCUGAGUGGCUUGGACAGGCACAACGUGGCACCAGGAGCCCGAGGGGAGCCAUCAGGGCUGCAAGAACCAGCAUGACCACAGCCUUCCAGUCCAGAGGCCUGGGGUGGAAGGAGGGAUUUGACCAAGCCGUAGGAGUCAGGAAAUGGUUGUGUUGCCAGUGAUAGAUUCACUGGAGAUGUCCCAGCUUUGACUGUGUGGAGGCACGCAGGCUUCAGGACAGGAGCACGGAAGGAGGUGGGCGCUGCACCACCUGCAGGGGCCAGUGGUGAGGAAUGAGGAUGGGCAGAAGAUUCAGGGACUUGACCUUGGGUUCAAGGACAUCUGGGCUGUGAGGAAGGACAGAUGCUCUGGCUGGAGGCCUCGUCACCUGGGACACCAGGCCUGGAAUGCAGCUCUCCAUCCAGCCCCCGCUCGCUGCUGACGCCUCCUGCUGGGAACAAAUAACUCCCAGGGGAGGAAAUAAAGAGGGCACACAGAGCUGUGAGCGCUGUCCCGGUGCACCACGGAUCCAAGUGAUGAGGGUGAAAGGAGAGGCUUCGUUUUCCUUUGGCAAUCAAAUUUUAAAAGAUUAAUAAUCCAGGUUGUUACUAGUGAGUGGGAGAGCAGCGACACACACAUUGCCUUACGCUGAUGGUAAAAGUAAACGUGGAAUAAAAUGAUACUUACAGGAAGCAAUAGCUGUCAAGGAACUUUGGGGAACUUUUCCUAAUUAAAUAAUCUAAAACAAGAAGAAAACUGUAUUCACCAGGAUGUUCGCGACACUGCUGUUUAUGGUAUUAAAAAUAAAAACAGUACCAUGUCCACAGUUAGCGAAAUGGUUCAUGAUAACACUACUCUGCAAUGUAAAGGGGAGUUCACACACCGAGAACGAGGAAAUGACAAUGAAUUGACAUGAGAAUGACUGAACCAGCAGUGACCUGCGCAGUGUGGCUCCUGGGAGAGGCCUGGGCCAGUGUGUAAUCUCACAGCCAGAGUCCAAGCCACAGGGGAGACUCCCAGAGCCUCCCUAAGCUCUACCUUCCCGCUCUGUAAAGCAAAGAUAGAAAUGCGGGUCUCAGGCCAGGCGCAGUGGCUCACACCUGUAAUCCCAGCACUUUGGGAGGCCGAGGAGGGCGGAUCACUUGAGGUCAGGAGUUCAUGACCAGCCUGGCCAACAUGGUGAGACUUUGUCUCUACUAAAAAUGCAAAAAUUAUCUGGGCGUGGUGGCGCGUGC